rnacentral:rRNA from 1 species
ACGUACACUCCUACGGGAGGCAGCAGUGGGGAAUAUUGCACAAUGGGCGCAAGCCUGAUGCAGCCAUGCCGCGUGUAUGAAGAAGGCCUUCGGGUUGUAAAGUACUUUCAGCGGGGAGGAAGGCGAUAAGGUUAAUAACCUUGUUGAUUGACGUUACCCGCAGAAGAAGCACCGGCUAACUCCGUGCCAGCAGCCGCGGUAAUACGGAGGGUGCAAGCGUUAAUCGGAAUUACUGGGCGUAAAGCGCACGCAGGCGGUCUGUCAAGUCGGAUGUGAAAUCCCCGGGCUCAACCUGGGAACUGCAUUCGAAACUGGCAGGCUAGAGUCUUGUAGAGGGGGGUAGAAUUCCAGGUGUAGCGGUGAAAUGCGUAGAGAUCUGGAGGAAUACCGGUGGCGAAGGCGGCCCCCUGGACAAAGACUGACGCUCAGGUGCGAAAGCGUGGGGAGCAAACAGGAUUAGAUACCCCUGUAGUCCCAUGA